CAAUGCCUCCUACUCAGUCUCAUCUCUGCUCUGCCUCAAAGGCGGUGGAUCCCUCCACUUGGGAAACGACAGAGCUCGCACUUGAACCCGGGGCCUGCCCAGCCCAGAGGCCACGUUCCUCCCACUUCCCUUUCCACUUGGAAGAAGGCCGGGUGGGGCCGAGCUGGUCCAUGCCAGGAACGACCUUAAAACUAAUCUCUGGUCUUGGGCUGGGACAGUCCUGAGACUCACUCACUCCUGGUGGCGCCAACCCUGCUGGCCUGACUCACAGCCACACGAACCCCGUGAGCCCGAGAGAGACACCGGAAUGCCCGUUUCCCAGCUGACUUCCCGGGACAGGCAGAGGAACCAGUGUCAGCAAGGUCAGCGUGUCCCCUUCCUGCGCACAGAUGACGUGGGAAGCCAGAAUCCAAAGUCUCCCUUGGGCUCAGCAUUCAGAUCCUAACAGACAAGCUUUAUUGAGGACCUCCUGCCUUCCUCUGGAGAAAUGGCCUUUCAUUCUGAACUUCAUCACCCAAAAGUUCCUCGUCUCUCAGAGUGACUGGCAUCUAGAUCACCAUGUUCCUGCAGAGCCCCGUCGGCUACACAGAGACACAAGGUUAAAACCCGGUCUGCACCUUGCCCCAGUGGACAGAACUAAAACCCCCAACAAAUGAAGACCAGAGAGGGGAGCACAGAACAGUCCCGGGGCCACGAAACACCACCUCUGAAGAAGGUCGAAAGCUCGCAUCUACCCGGAUCCUAAUCUGCAGCCCUAUUUUCCACUCCCAAAUUCUAAAAUCACUUCCUAUUCUCUCCCAAAAGAGGGCACGGUCUUUGGGGCACGAGCCUGCUGUGGCCUCCUUUGCCUGGUAAAGCAAUAAAGCUAUUUUUU